CCCAAUGUGGCACCCUCCAGAUGUUUUGAGAUUACAGCUCCCAUGUCAAUUUAGCCAAUAUGAAUCAAGUUGCAAGGUUACAACCAGAUCUCACCAUCCAGGUCUUUGCUGCUGCACGUCAAAGAUUCUGGGGAAAGGCAAACAAAUUGAACUGCUUUGAAGGCAGCCACAGAACACACUACAAGGCCUUUGCAAGAAAUGGCAGGCAUGAAAUACAGAGACCUGAUGGGAACCAGAGGAAGGAGCAUUAACAUACCUGGAAGAAGUAAAUGAAAUGCUUGGCAGAGUUCCCAAGACAGGCAGGAGGAAUCUGACCAGGGAAGCUCCUUAAGGGCUUCAUCUUAACACUGUCAACAGCUGACUGGCAACAAAUCAAAGUUGCUGUAUUUGUCAAAGGUUUUGCUAUGUUUUCUUCUAACAAAGAGGCGGAGAGGGAAAGGGAGAAAUAAUUUGAAUGCUCGAGCCAAGCAAUGCCAACUGGAAAAGGGCAAAGAGCCACUGGAGAAACAGGACAGACUAUUCUGAGUGCUGAAUAAU